rnacentral:tRNA from 1 species
GGGACAGGUUUGGCGACUCAGAAAGAAAUUGGCUCUUACUCAAUGGGUUUAAGGUUCGAAUCCUUGAACCCCCACCA